rnacentral:rRNA from 1 species
GUGCCAGCAGCCGCGGUAAUACGGAGGGUGCGAGCGUUGUCCGGAAUCACUGGGCGUAAAGGGCGCGUAGGCGGCAUGCCAAGCGUGUGGUGAAAGCCCGGGGCUCAACCCCGGGUCGGCCGUGCGGACUGGCGUGCUCGAGCACUGUAGGGGCGGGUGGAAUUCCGGGUGUAGCGGUGGAAUGCGUAGAGAUCCGGAAGAACACCGGUGGCGAAGGCGGCCCGCUGGGCAGGAAGGUGGAGCAAUCCACCGGCUGACGCUGAGGCGCGACAGCGUGGGGAGCAAACAGGAUUAGAAACCCUUGUAGUCC